GGAAGCUGUGGAAAGGAAACAAGACUGAGAGGGAAGGGCCCAACUGGGAGUGGCAGUUGGGUCUUGUGACUAGCACUUCCUUCCUGCCGGGAGUGGCAGUUGGGUCUUGUGACUAGCACUUCCUUCCUGCCGGGAGUGGCAGUUGGGUCUUGUGACUAGCACUUCCUUCCUGCAGGCUUCCUGGUGUUGGAGGAGAGAGGAGCUUGUUCAGCCCAGUCUGGAGUGGCAUGCUCUUCUUGGUUCAGCCCAAAGACACAGGCUUCUGAAGGAAUAAUAAAGUGGAGGAAUUCCAUGGAGACUGGACCGACCUUCAGGAAGUGA
rnacentral:lncRNA from 1 species